GGGAAUAUUGCACAAUGGGCGCAAGCCUGAUGCAGCCAUGCCGCGUGAAUGAUGAAGGCCUUAGGGUUGUAAAAUUCUUUCGCCAAGGAUGAUAAUGACACUACUUGGUAAAGAAGCCCCGGCUAACUUCGUGCCAGCAGCCGCGGUAAUACGAAGGGGGCUAGCGUUGCUCGGAAUCACUGGGCGUAAAGGGCGCGUAGGCGGACAUUUAAGUCAGGGGUGAAAUCCCAGAGCUCAACUCUGGAACUGCCUUUGAUACUGGGUAUCUUGAGUAUGGAAGAGGUUAGUGGAAUUGCGAGUGUAGAGGUGAAAUUCGUAGGUAUUGGAAGAACACC
rnacentral:rRNA from 1 species